ensembl:lncRNA
GGAGCUGCUCAGCCAGCUGUGGACCCCAACCCCUCUCACAACACUUUCAUGUUAGAGAAAUCUCUUUCUUGUUUAAACUACUCGUUUAUUUGAGGUUCGAUGUAUUAAGUGUUUUUUUUUUUAAUGGACCAUGCUUUUGGUGUCAAAUCUUUGCCUAACUUUAGCCCUCAAAAUAUUUUUCUAUAAGUUUUAAGAUUUAUGUUUUAUAUUUGUUCACGAUCCUUUUUGAGUCCAUUUUUGCCUAAGGUGUUGAGGUUCAGGUUGAGGUUCUUUUUUUUUUUUUUUUUGGACAAUUUUUUUUCUCAGUUGCUCCAGGACAAUUUGUUGAAAAGUGUAUCAUCCCUUCAUUGAAUUGUUUUUACACCGUUGUUGAAAAUCAUUUGGACAUUUUGUGUGGGUCCUCUCUGCUGGUUUACAGACCUAAGUGUCUAUCUCUCCAUUAAUACCGCACUGAUAAAUAGUAGACGUCAGACGGAUUCUUCACCCAGUGAGUCACCUGGAAAACCCCUUGAUGUCAUCACAAUAAGAACCAAUUCUAAUGUUAUUGUAUAAUAAAAUCAUGUGCUUAGGCAAUUGAGAGAGAUGGG